rnacentral:rRNA from 1 species
UACGUAGGGUGCAAGCGUUAAUCGGAAUUACUGGGCGUAAAGCGUGCGCAGGCGGUAAUGUAAGACAGAUGUGAAAUUCCCGGGCUCAACCUGGGAACUGCAUUUGUGACUGCAUUGCUGGAGUGCGGCAGAGGGGGAUGGAAUUCCGCGUGUAGCAGUGAAAUGCGUAGAUAUGCGGAGGAACACCGAUGGCGAAGGCAAUCCCCUGGGCCUGCACUGACGCUCAUGCACGAAAGCGUGGGGAGCAAACAGG